rnacentral:rRNA from 2 species
AGUCGAGCGCACCUUCGGGUGAGCGGCGGACGGGUUAGUAACGCGUGGGAACAUACCCUUUGGUACGGAAUAGCCUCUGGAAACGGAGAGUAAUACCGUAUGAGCCCUUCGGGGGAAAGAUUUAUCGCCAAAGGAUUGGCCCGCGUUAGAUUAGGUAGUUGGUGGGGUAAUGGCCUACCAAGCCUACGAUCUAUAGCUGGUUUUAGAGGAUGAUCAGCAACACUGGGACUGAGACACGGCCCAGACUCCUACGGGAGGCAGCAGUGGGGAAUCUUGGACAAUGGGGGCAACCCUGAUCCAGCCAUGCCGCGUGAGUGAUGAAGGCCUUAGGGUCGUAAAGCUCUUUCGCCUGUGAAGAUAAUGACGGUAGCAGGUAAAGAAACCCCGGCUAACUCCGUGCCAGCAGCCGCGGUAAUACGGAGGGGGUUAGCGUUGUUCGGAAUUACUGGGCGUAAAGCGCACGUAGGCGGACUGGAAAGUUGGGGGUGAAAUCCCAGGGCUCAACCCUGGAACUGCCUCCAAAACUAUCAGUCUAGAGUUCGAGAGAGGUGAGUGGAAUUCCGAGUGUAGAGGUGAAAUUCGUAGAUAUUCGGAGGAACACCAGUGGCGAAGGCGGCUCACUGGCUCGAUACUGACGCUGAGGUGCGAAAGUGUGGGGAGCAAACAGGAUUAGAUACCCUGGUAGUCCACACCGUAAACGAUGAAUGCCAGUCGUCGGGUAGCAUGCUAUUCGGUGACACACCUAACGGAUUAAGCAUUC